GACGAACGCUGGCGGCGUGCUUAACACAUGCAAGUCGAACGGUAAGGCCCUUCGGGGUACACGAGUGGCGAACGGGUGAGUAACACGUGGGUGAUCUGCCCUGCACUUCGGGAUAAGCCUGGGAAACUGGGUCUAAUACCGGAUAGGACCAUGGACUUCACGGUUUGUGGUGGAAAGCUUUUGCGGUGUGGGAUGGGCCCGCGGCCUAUCAGCUUGUUGGUGGGGUAAUGGCCUACCAAGGCGACGACGGGUAGCCGGCCUGAGAGGGUGUCCGGCCACACUGGGACUGAGAUACGGCCCAGACUCCUACGGGAGGCAGCAGUGGGGAAUAUUGCACAAUGGGCGCAAGCCUGAUGCAGCGACGCCGCGUGAGGGAUGACGGCCUCGGUUGUAA
rnacentral:rRNA from 1 species